GGGGCUGUCACGAUUCGACAUACGAUCUUUGACAUAUGCUGCAAGCAAGAGUGGCUACAGACUCUCAAUUGUAGCGCGUACAAAUGCUACUUCAUUUGUCAACAAAGUGAAGUUGGGCUUGCUCAACUUUGCUCCGGUCGCAGCUUAAUUGUGACUGGCGUUUACCGUCCCGACCCCGAUACGAACGGCUAGACGUAUUAUCUUCGGGUCGUUUUUCCUCGGUUCGCGCGAGGGAAAAACGAAAGUAACAGCGGAUCGGAUCGGCGGUAGUUUGUCAGUUCUAAGCCGCAGGUUCUAAAAAAUCAAACUGGCUAAGCUUGUAGAGGCGUAUGUUAUCGGCGUAUGGACACGGGUGCAAUUCCCGUCAGCUCCACUU
rnacentral:tmRNA from 1 species